rnacentral:tmRNA from 1 species
GGGCCCGCCCGGUUUUGACAGCGAGAGCAGUAGGAGUGUAAGCAUGUAGUGUAUUGGGAACGGAGCACUUUAAAUCUAAAUCUCAAAAUUUUAUCUGGCGAAGAGAAUUCUUACGCUAUGGCUGCUUAAUCUAAGAUUAACCAACCUUUGCAACCCCUGUAGCGUCUUUGCUUAGCGACAGGAAUUUUGCAUCAUAAAUUAGCAAAUUGUUUCAGUGAUGAUGUUACCUGAAACAAUAUCAGCAUCUAAGCUUAGUUUUGGUUUAAAUGUAUGCCUGGACUAAGCCGACAAUCAAAUACAUUUUAAACAUGUAGAAAGCAUUUUUAUUCCUUGUUUGGACGAGAGUUCGAAUCUCUCCGGGUCCACUU